GGCGGAGUAGCUCAAAGGCUGAGCGGCUGGCUGUUAACCAGUAGGAUGUGGGUUCGAAUCCCUCCUCCGUCG
rnacentral:tRNA from 1 species